GACAUCCAGCUUCUCCUUUAUCACCAGUUCAACUUACUCUGCUUCACCACUACCUCUUAAUCACGUUUUCUCACCAACUUGUGCCGUCCUAAGGUUUCUUUCCUCUACUUUCAUUAUGCCGAAUGGCACUAGACUUUUCUUUACUUCACAUAUCCUGAACAAAAUUUCUACUUCCUUAUCCCCCCACUACACUCGGCUUAAUGUCCCUCUUUUCAAAUACUGGCUCCUACUAAAGUAGCUGUUGCCUAUUUCUUACUAAUUCCCUGAUUUCUCAACCUGCAUCAGUGCCUCUCUUUAGUGACUAUUCUAUCUCCUUCAUCAUUAAUGUGGUAUUACGUAUACAAAUUAAUGUAGUAGCUUUUGUCUUGUGUGUCAUUGGAGGAAGUUGCAGCCCGUGCACCUUCAUAUUCUUCCAAUUCUCGAUAUUUUUACAUGCGUGGCCAUACUAGGAAGGAUAUGAUUAGGAAUGAGGUUAUUCGGGACAAGGUGGGAGUGGCCUGUGUGGCAGACAAGAUAGGGGAACUGAGGUUGAGAUGGUUCAGACAUGUGAAGAGGAAGUGUGAGAAGUUGGUUAUGGCAGGACCUAGGAGAGAUAGAGAUAAGCUGAAGAAACACUAGGAAGAGGUAGUCAGGCAGGACAUAGCACAUCUUCAACUUAUCAAUUAAAUGACCUUGAUAGGAGGGUAUGGGGGUCGAGGAUUAGGAUAGUAAGUUAGUAGGUGGUCGAAUGUGUUUCUUUUACGUCCCUAUAUUCUUUCCCUACUUGUAGCACUAGUGUUAUUAUCCUAUUUCUUGUUCUUAAAUUUCUAUUACUACCUGUUGUUCCUUUUGCUUCAGUUAUCUUUUUUUUGGCUGUGACUACUGUUUCUCUUCCAUAGCUUCUUCACACCGUAUUUCCUUUUCAUAACUAUUGUGACUAUGCUUUUCUUAAGCCGAUGGUCUAUUGAAAACAACAUUUCUAUCUUCACGAGUUAGGGAUGAGUUUUGCGUAUACCCUGCCUAGACCCCGCACGUGUGAUUUCACUAGGUAUGUUGUUGUUGUUGAUUUGGUAAACAAUUGAAUAAUUUAAUAGAGUUGAACAUGGACUUCCUUGUCCGUAUUGGAAUAUUCUUUGAUUUUGCUAAUGGAGCAUCUGCCUGCAGAACAAUCCAAGAGCUGAAGCACUAUAUGAACAUUAAGGAGUCUCCUCAAAUUCUGUAUUGACACCGUUCCAAAAAUAUCGCAUCAAAUUCUUAUCUUCUUUGUCAAUGGAUGCUGAAUUUCAGCUGUCUCUUCCAGCUUUUUUGGCUUUAGUAUGGUUAAUCUUUGUAUGUUUCAGACUAGGGAAUAUUAAUAGAUUCAGAAGCAAGAAGUCAACAAAAGCGAGACUUCCCCCAGGACCGUGGAAGCUGCCGUUCAUAGGGAAACAAUUUACGAUCUGGUGGUCCCUUGACCCACAGGGUAUUGACAGACUUGGCCAAGAAAUAUGGGCCCUUAAAGCACCUUCAGCUUGGAGAAAUCUCUACAAUAGUUGUUUCUUCCAGCGAAACUGCAAAACAAGUGUUGAAAGUUCAUGGCAUCGUUUUGCUUCGAGGCCUCAGAACCUUGUAUCAAAGAUUAUACCUGACGAUUCCAAAAUCAUUGGUAUGUUCCGUACAGGGAAUAUUGGUUACAGACGAGGAAAAUCUGCCAAUUGGAACUUCUCAGCACCAAGCACAUUCACUCCUCUCGAUCACUUAGAGAAGAAGUGUAUGCACGCCUCAUCAAAUGGCUAGAUGGUUCACCAGCUAAUCUAACAGAAAAGCUAUAUUCAACUAUGUCUAGUGUAAUUUCGAGAGCAGCAUUUGGAAAAGGAUACAAGGACCAUGAUGCACUUGUACCUAUACUAUAUCAACUUCUAAAUUGGCAUCAGCAUUCAACAUUGCAGAUCUGUAUCUUUCCAUAAAGUUGUUGCAAAGAAUGAGUGGACUAAGGGUCAAAUAGGAGAAGUGCCAUAAUGAACUAGAUCGGAUGCUUGAAGACAUUAUCAUCGAUUCGACAAUAUAGCAGCUAGGAAUGAUGCCACAGCCACAAAGAUUGAUGAUGAUGACGAACUGGUGGAUAUCCUUUUAGAAAUUCAGAAGACUGAAAAUCAACUAACUAAAGCAGUGAUUUGGGUAAGCUAUUUGUUUUAGAUCAACUACCUCUGUUUCAUAUUCUGUCUUUCAAGGUUCUUGGAAGAAAGACAUUUUAAUAAUCAUAACUAUAAGAGUAUAUCUCUAAACUAUCUCUUAUUUGUAUCUUAAACAUCUCACUUAGUAAGGUGAAUCUGCAAAAAUACUUCUUGUUUUCUUUCAAAACAUUAACCAUGUCUCGGAAUAA
rnacentral:lncRNA from 1 species